CGUUUCACGCGCAUGCGCGAAAGGAUGGCACAUUAAUUCCGCAACUGGGUUAAAAAAAACAUAAUAAUAAUAAGCUACAAUUCCGCUGGUCACAAGGACCUCGAUGAGUUUUCCGACAACUGCUCUCCAGCUCGCCUCUCCAAUCCGUAAAGAAAAUUCCGGAGGCUGGUACCUUUCUUCCGCAAAAUUUCCACUCUGCGAUUUUAUUUCUGUUUAUUAGUCUGAAACUAUGAAAUCUGGAUUGCUUGCUACUAGUUCGCGUUCGUAGCUUGAUGCGUAUUGUUGAAAUUGCAUAGUAUACCGUUUUUCUAUCCUUGUUAUUUUGGCUACAUGUGAGGAUGCUGGGUUUGUUUCGGUCAUGGAUGAAGACCCAGACGUUAACGUUCCCCAUUUUGUUGAACGACGGCUAUCACAAGAACUACCAUGGACUAACACUGCCAUGCCGCUUACAGAUGUAGUAUCAGUUGAAACACUGCCAAUUUGUAAUGCGACGGAAGAGAGAGCCCUUAUGCUCUAUGAUCCAACUAAAAUCCCUUUUGUCAAAUAUCCGAGCCCUCAUAAAUUCCCAAUAGUUGUGCAAUCUGACUUGAUUCCUGGCUUAAAGGGUAACUAUGCAGAUUCUAAGUUAGAGUUCCUUAAAGCUUUUGGAUUGAACCUAAUUUCUGCUGUUCUCAUUUGCUUUUGUAUCUAAGGAUUGUGAUUUCCCCCUCCCAUUAGCAAUAAUUUAUUAUUGAUGGUCAAAAGUAGCUCGCUGCUUUCAAGUGGUUUAUGUUGCUCAUCAGCAGUAAUAUUUUGGAUCGUAAUAUCUUAGUUCCAGUCGAGAGACAUUAAUAUCUGGGCAAGUGCAUGAGAUGAGAUGGAUCUUAAGUAAGUGAGAAACCAAAUCCCAAGAUUUAAUCUGUAUAAACUCCAGAAGUCUGAUUGCAUAAUACAUGCGCUAUUCAAGGCCAAUUAAAAUCCAAAUUUAUCUUCAUUACAAUAAGAUUCUUUAAAGCUCUUGCUCGUUUCUAUCAGUUUCUCAGUCUUGGAGUGAACCUGUAGUCUUCAAUUGGUCCAUAUCAUAAAUUCUGUGUUCACCGAGAGGAUCAAGUAUAAUAACAUGUUCGUUUCACUUUUCUUGUGAGUUUUUGGCUUGACGCCAUCUCUUCUAGAAGCCCAUGUUUAAUUUUCCUAGUUUGUCAACUUGCUCAGAGGGAUGCUAACCUUUGUUCUUAAGAUUACCUAUCAUCGUGGGUAUUGCAAAGUUAGAAAAAUCCGACGAAGAUGGAACGAGCAAGGGUAAGAGCUCUGAAGGGUAAAGAGACAGGCUGGCGGUUGUCCCGUGCGUUACAUCCCAUUGGCCAGUGGUGUGCGAAGAAAGAGCUUCAGCUGCUUGUUAACCUUUUGAAGCAGAAGGUGAAGGUGAAAUGAUGGACAUGGAUGAAUCCUUUGUCAGUCGCAGUCAAUAGAGAUGGACAUUGGUGAAAAGGUGGAAGCAGUUGUGGUUAUGCCCCCCUGCCAGCAACAACACCAUAUGAUGAUUCGUUUCUCGCAGAACACUUUCGCUUCAAUGAGUUGGUCAUAGUCCUGAGCUCAUGUUUUGAUAUUCUCAUGACAGCGUCACAUAUACUAACCAGCCGUCCAUCGGCACUUGUGUUGUACAUAACGUAGGCAAGAGUUUUGGAUAACUGUUUAAUUAGCAGUAGCAGAUGUCUUAACAUGAGGUUUCUGCCACAUAAGUUUUAGACAUUCCAAAAAUUUCGACACUUGUGCUUUCAUCUUUUAUCAUAGAUCAGCUAGAGAGCUUAGGACUUGGGAGUUUGGGGAAUUUGCUGAAACCGAAUUCUGUAUAUCUAUUUGCUGCCAUACCAUGUGUACAAACUACACACGACGGAAGAAUAUGUUGUUCGAACUUCCAAGGGCGGAUAAUUCUACAGUUCAACGAGUACGUUAGUCUUGUUUUUUUUAAUGAUAUUAACAAUUUUCUUA